rnacentral:rRNA from 1 species
CAGUCGCCACGGUAAUACGAAGGGGGCUAGCGUUGCUCGGAAUGACUGGGCGUAAAGGGCGCGUAGGCGGUUUAUACAGUCAGAUGUGAAAUUCCUGGGCUCAACCUGGGGACUGCAUUUGAUACGUAUGGACUUGAGUGGAGAAGAGGGUCGUGGAAUUUCCAGUGUAGAGGUGAAAUUCGUAGAUAUUGGAAAGAACACCGGUGGCGAAGGCGGCGACCUGGUCUUUAACUGACACUGAGGCGCGAAAGCGUGGGGAGCGAACAGGAUUAGAUACCCGCGUAGUCCCUGUCUCUUAUAC